AGUGAACGCUGGCGGCGUGCCUAAUACAUGCAAGUCGAACGGUAACAGGAAGUAGCUUGCUACUUUGCUGAUUAGUGGCGCACGGGUGAGUAAUGCAUAGGUCAUGUGCCCCAUAGUCUGGGAUAGCAACGGGAAACGGUGAUGAAUACUGGAUACUCCCGAGAGGGGAAAGUUUUUCGCUAUGGGAUCAGCCUAUGUCCUAUCAGCUUGUUGGUGAGGUAAUGGCUCACCAAGGCUAUGACGGGUAUCCGGCCUGAGAGGGUGAACGGACACACUGGAACUGGGACACGGUCCAGACUCCUACGGGAGGCAGCAGUAGGGAAUAUUGCUCAAUGGGGGAAACCCUGAAGCAGCAACGCCGCGUGAAGGAUGAAGGUCUUCGGAUUGUAAACUCCUUUUCUAAGAGAAGAUUAUGACGGUAUCUUAGGAAUAAGCACCGGCUAACUCCGUG
rnacentral:rRNA from 1 species